CCCCGUGAACCUUUACUGUAGCUUUGCAUUGGACUUUGAACAGACUUGUGUAGGAUAGGUGGGAGGCUUUGAAGCUGAGACGCUAGUUUCAGUGGAGCCGUCCUUGAAAUACCACCCUGGUGUGUUUGAGGUUCUAACCUUGGUCCGGGAUCCGGAUUGGGGACAGUGCAUGGUAGGCAGUUUGACUGGGGCGGUCUCCUCCCAAAGUGUAACGGAGGAGUUCGAAGGUUACCUAGGUACGGUCGGAAAUCGUGCUGAUAGUGCAAUGGCAAAAGGUAGCUUCACUGCGAGACCGACAAGUCGAGCAGGUGCGAAAGCAGGACAUAGUGAUCCGGUGGUUCUGAAUGGAAGGGCCAUCGCUCAA
rnacentral:rRNA from 1 species